rnacentral:rRNA from 1 species
UACGAAGGGUGCAAGCGUUAAUCGGAAUUACUGGGCGUAAAGCGUGCGUAGACGGCCUUUUAAGUCUGCUGUGAAAGCCCUGGGCUCAACCUGGGAACUGCAGUGGAUACUGUGAGGCUGGAGUGCGUUAGAGGAUGGUGGAAUUCCCGGUGUAGCGGUGAAAUGCGUAGAGAUCGGGAGGAGCAUCAGAGGCGAAGGCGGCCAUCUGGACCAGCACUGACGUUGAGGCACGAAGGCGUGGGGAGCAAACAGG